GAUGAACGCUGGCGGCGUGCCUAAUACAUGCAAGUCGAGCGAACGGACGAGAAGCUUGCUUCUCUGAUGUUAGCGGCGGACGGGUGAGUAACACGUGGAUAACCUACCUAUAAGACUGGGAUAACUUCGGGAAACCGGAGCUAAUACCGGAUAAUAUUUUGAACCGCAUGGUUCAAAAGUGAAAGACGGUCUUGCUGUCACUUAUAGAUGGAUCCGCGCCGCAUUAGCUAGUUGGUAAGGUAACGGCUUACCAAGGCAACGAUGCAUAGCCGACCUGAGAGGGUGAUCGGCCACACUGGAACUGAGACACGGUCCAGACUCCUACGGGAGGCAGCAGUAGGGAAUCUUCCGCAAUGGGCGAAAGCCUGACGGAGCAACGCCGCGUGAGUGAUGAAGGUCUUCGGAUCGUAAAACUCUGUUAUUAGGGAAGAACAUAUGUGUAAGUAACUGUGCACAUCUUGACGGUACCUAAUCAGAAAGCCACGGCUAACUACGUGCCAGCAGCCGCGGUAAUACGUAGGUGGCAAGCGUUAUCCGGAAUUAUUGGGCGUAAAGCGCGCGUAGGCGGUUUUUUAAGUCUGAUGUGAAAGCCCACGGCUCAACCGUGGAGGGUCAUUGGAAACUGGAAAACUUGAGUGCAGAAGAGGAAAGUGGAAUUCCAUGUGUAGCGGUGAAAUGCGCAGAGAUAUGGAGGAACACCAGUGGCGAAGGCGACUUUCUGGUCUGUAACUGACGCUGAUGUGCGAAAGCGUGGGGAUCAAACAGGAUUAGAUACCCUGGUAGUCCACGCCGUAAACGAUGAGUGCUAAGUGUUAGGGGGUUUCCGCCCCUUAGUGCUGCAGCUAACGCAUUAAGCACUCCGCCUGGGGAGUACGACCGCAAGGUUGAAACUCAAAGGAAUUGACGGGGACCCGCACAAGCGGUGGAGCAUGUGGUUUAAUUCGAAGCAACGCGAAGAACCUUACCAAAUCUUGACAUCCUUUGACAACUCUAGAGAUAGAGCCUUCCCCUUCGGGGGGGCAAAGUGACAGGUGGUGCAUGGUUGUCGUCAGCUCGUGUCGUGAGAUGUUGGGUUAAGUCCCGCAACGAGCGCAACCCUUAAGCUUAGUUGCCAUCAUUAAGUUGGGCACUCUAAGUUGACUGCCGGUGACAAACCGGAGGAAGGUGGGGAUGACGUCAAAUCAUCAUGCCCCUUAUGAUUUGGGCUACACACGUGCUACAAUGGACAAUACAAAGGGCAGCGAAACCGCGAGGUCAAGCAAAUCCCAUAAAGUUGUUCUCAGUUCGGAUUGUAGUCUGCAACUCGACUACAUGAAGCUGGAAUCGCUAGUAAUCGUAGAUCAGCAUGCUACGGUGAAUACGUUCCCGGGUCU
rnacentral:rRNA from 1 species